rnacentral:rRNA from 1 species
CAGCAGCCACGGUAACACGAGGGGGGCAAGCGUUGUUCGGAAUUAUUGGGCGUAAAGGGUGCGUAGGCGGUUCAGCAAGUCUCGUGUGAAAUCUUCGGGCUCAACCCGAAGUCUGCACGGGAAACUACUGGGCUUGAGUAAUGGAGAGGUGAGUGGAAUUUCCGGUGUAGCGGUGAAACGCGUAGAUAUCGGAAGGAACACCUGUGGCGAAAGCGGCUCACUGGACAUUUACUGACGCUGAUGCACGAAAGCUAGGGGAGCAAACAGGAUUAGAUACCCGCGUAGUCCCUGUCUCUUAUAC